rnacentral:rRNA from 1 species
AGAGUUUGAUCAUGGCUCAGAACGAACGCUGGCGGCGUGGAUAAGACAUGCAAGUCGGACGGGACUACUUUGAGUAGCAAUACCUGAAGUAGUUCAGUGGCGAACGGGUGCGUAACACGUGGACAAUCUGCCUUAAAGUGGGGGAUAGCUCGGCGAAAGCCGAAUUAAUACCGCAUGUGAUCAGGGAAGACAUCUUUCCGAAAUCAAAGCCGGGGCAACCUGGCGCUUUUUGAGGAGUCCGCGGCCUAUCAGCUAGUUGGUGAGGUAACGGCUCACCAAGGCUUUGACGGGUAGCUGGUCUGAGAGGACGACCAGCCACACUGGAACUGAGACACGGUCCAGACACCUACGGGUGGCAGCAGUCGAGAAUUUUUCUCAAUGGGGGAAACCCUGAAGGAGCGACGCCGCGUGGAGGAUGAAGGUCUUCGGGUUGUAAACUCCUGUCAUUUGGGAACAAGUUGCACACGUUAACUGCGUGGGCAUUGAUAGUACCAGAAGAGGAAGAGACGGCUAACUCUGUGCCAGCAGCCGCGGUAAUACAGAGGUCUCAAGCGUUGUUCGGAUUCAUUGGGCGUAAAGGGUGCGUAGGUGGCGCCGUAAGUGGGGUGUGAAAUUUCGGAGCUUAACUCCGAAACUGCAUUCCAUACUGCGGUGCUUGAGGACUGGAGAGGAGACUGGAAUUUACGGUGUAGCAGUGAAAUGCGUAGAGAUCGUAAGGAAGACCAGUGGCGAAGGCGGGUCUCUGGACAGUUCCUGACACUGAGGCACGAAGGCCAGGGGAGCAAACGGGAUUAGAUACCCNNGUAGUCC